UAGCAGGAAGCAGCUUGCUGCUUUGCUGACGAGUGGCGGACGGGUGAGUAAUGUCUGGGAAACUGCCUGAUGGAGGGGGAUAACUACUGGAAACGGUAGCUAAUACCGCAUAACGUCGCAAGACCAAAGAGGGGGACCUUCGGGCCUCUUGCCAUCGGAUGUGCCCAGAUGGGAUUAGCUAGUAGGUGGGGUAACGGCUCACCUAGGCGACGAUCCCUAGCUGGUCUGAGAGGAUGACCAGCCACACUGGAACUGAGACACGGUCCAGACUCCUACGGGAGGCAGCAGUGGGGAAUAUUGCACAAUGGGCGCAAGCCUGAUGCAGCCAUGCCGCGUGUAUGAAGAAGGCCUUCGGGUUGUAAAGUACUUUCAGCGGGGAGGAAGGGAGUAAAGUUAAUACCUUUGCUCAUUGACGUUACCCGCAGAAGAAGCACCGGCUAACUCCGUGCCAGCAGCCGCGGUAAUACGGAGGGUGCAAGCGUUAAACGGAAUUACUGGGCGUAAAGCGCACGCAGGCGGUUUGUUAAGUCAGAUGUGAAAUCCCCGGGCUCAACCUGGGAACUGCAUCUGAUACUGGCAAGCUUGAGUCUCGUAGAGGGGGGUAGAAUUCCAGGUGUAGCGGUGAAAUGCGUAGAGAUCUGGAGGAAUACCGGUGGCGAAGGCGGCCCCCUGGACGAAGACUGACGCUCAGGUGCGAAAGCGUGGGGAGCAAACAGAAUUAGAUACCCUGGUAGUCCACGCCGUAAACGAUGUCGACUUGGAGGUUGUGCCCUUGAGGCGUGGCUUCCGGAGCUAACGCGUUAAGUCGACCGCCUGGGGAGUACGGCCGCAAGGUUAAAACUCAAAUGAAUUGACGGGGGCCCGCACAAGCGGUGGAGCAUGUGGUUUAAUUCGAUGCAACGCGAAGAACCUUACCUGGUCUUGACAUCCACGGAAGUUUUCAGAGAUGAGAAUGUGCCUUCGGGAACCGUGAGACAGGUGCUGCAUGGCUGUCGUCAGCUCGUGUUGUGAAAUGUUGGGUUAAGUCCCGCAACGAGCGCAACCCUUAUCCUUUGUUGCCAGCGGUCCGGCCGGGAACUCAAAGGAGACUGCCAGUGAUAAACUGGAGGAAGGUGG
rnacentral:rRNA from 1 species